UGGGGAAUUUUGGACAAUGGGCGCAAGCCUGAUCCAGCAAUGCCGCGUGAGUGAAGAAGGCCUUCGGGUUGUAAAGCUCUUUUGUCAGGGAAGAAACGGCUGAGGCUAAUACCUUUGGCUAAUGACGGUACCUGAAGAAUAAGCACCGGCUAACUACGUGCCAGCAGCCGCGGUAAUACGUAGGGUGCAAGCGUUAAUCGGAAUUACUGGGCGUAAAGCGUGCGCAGGCGGUUUUGUAAGUCUGAUGUGAAAUCCCCGGGCUCAACCUGGGAAUUGCAUUGGAGACUGCAAGGCUGGAAUCUGGCAGAGGGGGGUAGAAUUCCACGUGUAGCAGUGAAAUGCGUAGAGAUGUGGAGGAACACCGAUGGCGAAGGCAGCCCCCUGGGUCAAGAUUGACGCUCAUGCACGAAAGCGUGGGGAGCAAACA
rnacentral:rRNA from 1 species